rnacentral:rRNA from 1 species
CAGUAGCCGCGGUAAUACGAAGGGGGCUAGCGUUGUUCGGAUUUAUCGGGCGUAAAGGGCACGUAGGCGGACUGAUAAGUCAGGGGUGAAAUCCCAAGGCUCAAUCUUGGAACUGCCUUUGAUACUGUUUGUCUUGAGUUCGAGAGAGGUAAGUGGAACUGCGAGUGUAGAGGUGAAAUUCGUAGAUAUUCGCAAGAACACCAGUGGCGAAGGCGGCUUACUGGCUCGAAACUGACGCUGAGGCGCGAAAGCGUGGGGAGCAAACAGGAUUAGAUACCCGAGUAGUCCCUGUCUCUUAUAC